UCCUGGUUAGCUCCGUUGGUAGUGCGCUCCCCUGGGAAUGGAGAUGUCCCUGGUUCGAUACCAGUACCAGGCG
rnacentral:tRNA from 1 species